GAUGAACGCUAGCGGGAGGCCUAAUACAUGCAAGUCGAACGGGUGAAUUAGCUUCGGUUGGUUCACUAGUGGCGCACGGGUGAGUAACGCGUACGCAAUCUGCCCUAUGCUGGGGAAUAGCCCUGGGAAACUGGGAGUAAUACGCCAUAGUUCUACGGAUCUGCAUGGAUUUGUAGAUAAAGCUGCGGCGGCAUAGGAUGAGCGUGCGUCUGAUUAGGUAAUUGGUGAGGUAACGGCUCACCAAGCCGACGAUCAGUAAGGGGCGUGAGAGCGUGGCCCCCUCACACGGGUACUGAGACACGGACCCGACUCCUACGGGAGGCAGCAGUAAGGAAUAUUGGACAAUGGGCGCAAGCCUGAUCCAGCCAUCCCGCGUGCUUGAUGAAGGCCCUCUGGGUUGUAAAGAGCUUUAGUCUGGGAAGAAACCGUUUUCUGCGGAAGACGCUGACGGUACCAGAAGAAUAAGCACCGGCUAACUCCGUGCCAGC
rnacentral:rRNA from 1 species